AUAACGCGCAAAUGUGCCUACAAAAAUUUAUGAAAAACUUCAAAUAUCUCUCUUGUGUUUUCGUAUUUUUUCAUUUUAGUAUUCUAUUUUUAAAAUGUAUCAAAUUAGUACCCUAUGGUUUCGCACUUUUUCACUUUAGUAUCCUGUGAUUUCAAGUAUAUUAAGUUAGUACUAUGUGGUUUUGCACUUUCUCAUUUUAGUAUUUUGUGGUUUAAUAUUUCGUUAAAUUAUAUAUCCCGAAAUGGAUAAUAAAAAGAAAAAAUUGAAACCACAUGAUAUUAACUUGAUACAAAAAUAAAACCACAAGAUACUAACUUGAUACACUAGAAACCACAGGGUACUAAAAUUAGAAAAUGCAAAACCACAGGAUACUAACUUAAUUCACUUUAAACCACAUGGUACUAACGUAAGAAAGUGCGAAACCACAUAAGGGUAUUUAAAGUUUCCCCAAAAUUUUAUGAACAUUCUUCCA
rnacentral:lncRNA from 1 species